GACGAACGCUGGCGGCGUGCCUAACACAUGCAAGUUGAGCGACGAACCAGGGCUUGCUCUGGGGCAAAGCAGCGAACGGGUGAGUAACACGUGGGUAACCUACCCCGAUAACCGGGACACGCCGAGGAAACUCGGGCUAUUACCGGAAGUGCUCACUGGACUUCGGUUCAGUGCGUAAAGGAAGCUGCGGCCUCCGUAUCGGGAGGGGCCCUAGGCAGAUUAGUUUGUUGGUGCGGUAACGGCCGACCAAGACCGCGAUGGGUAGCUGGUCUGAGAGGAAGAUCAGCCACACUGGGACUGAGACACGGCCCAGACUCCUACGGGAGGCAGCAGUGGGGAAUCUUGCGCAAUGCGCGAAAGCGUGACGCAGCAACGCCGCGUGUGGGAAGAAGGCCUUCGGGUUGUAAACCCCUUUCAGGAGGGACGAAGGUUAGUCGGUGAAUAGCCGGCCGGACUGACGGUACCUCCACAAGAAGCCCCGGCUAACUACGUG
rnacentral:rRNA from 1 species